AUAAAUUAUAUCGUUGUGAUUACCUAUCCAAUAUUUUAUUGCAAAUCGUGUAAAUCACACUAUAAUAAACGAUCGCCGGUUUUUAUUUUUUUCAUCUUGGUUAUUAUGCAUAUAGUAUUAGUGUUCAAAACAUGAAAUACGUUUCGGACUUUUCGAGAAUAUAAUAUGUAGGUACAUAAAUAUAGAUACCUAUAACCUAUUAUCCG